rnacentral:tmRNA from 1 species
GGGGGCGACAGGCUUCGACAGGGGCUUGUAUGGAUCUUUGAAUGCACGUCGGGCUUGCUUGGUUAGCUCGUUAAAAAAACCGAUGCAAAAAACAAAUGCUAAUCAAGAAUUAGCUCUUGCUGCCUAAUUAACUUUAGCUACAGCAAUGUCACGUCGGAAGUCCGCCUGAUGCGACCGGUUGUGGCAUAACCCAGUUCAGGCUCGCUUCACGCCUCCACCUGCGGCGUACGGUUAAAAUCAGCCGGGUUAGCCUUAGACAAGGUCUUGUUCGUUCAUCUGCUUGUCUUUGGCGAAAUUAAAGUGAACGGACUAAACGUGUAGAUUUCACUGGUCGCAACCUUUGGAUGCGGGUUCGAUUCCCGCCGCCUCCACCA